CUGUUGUUCUGCCCCUGAACAAGGCACUGUUCCCCAUCAUUGUAAAUAAGAAUUUGUUCUUAACUGAUUUGCCUGUUUAAAAAAAAAAGUUAUGUUCUGCAUACCCUUAAAAGAGGGGACCUCUCUGUGUCCCAAGUGGCACCCUAUUCCUCAUAUAGUGCACUACUUUUGUCCAGAGCUCGAUGGGCCCUGGUCAAAAGUAGUGCACUGUAAAGGAAAAAGAGUGCCAUUUGGGGUACAUACUCUGUCAUCAGUGAAGAUGUCUGUCUAUGUGGGCUGUAUGGGCGUAGGUUGGUUGGUGUAUCUCAGAGACAGAAGGAGAGAUCGCUGUAGAGGGACUGUUAGACCUCUUCCUGUGGUUUACACCACGUGACUACGAAGCUUAAUAAGAACACCUCUGUUAGUUCACACUUCUGUUUCUGCUGGGAUAGAGGAGAGAAAGAUGUUAGUUCCUGUUUUGAAUUUGCUCAACGGAUUGGACUGAGAAGGGGUUCUGAGCAGAACCAAACACGAAGCUGCCACAGCAACGAGAAGAUACUGAUGUACAGUGCAGUCAUCCAUAAAGUAGAGAGUACUACUAAACUCCUCUGCACAGUGUAGUGUUUCCUACUUUAUGGAUGACUGUACUGUUGGCUACGGAGGAAAAUACUACAAGGACUCCAUUGACAUCAAUGAACAAUUCUGAAAAGCUUGGAGACCAUGGUCUAUUUUUAAGUUGUAUUAAAUUUUUGUACUAGAAAUGCAGUCCUAUGAAUAAAUGUUAAGUUCCCGUUAAGUAUUCAGUCAUGUUUCUCAAAUGAAAGUAGAUUUGAUUGCAGUAUUGUACUAAUGAAAAUAAAUAAAUUGUGUUUCUUGCUUUC